GACCCAAUAGUUUAAUGGUAGAAUACUUGACUCUGCCUCAAGUGGCAAAGGUUCAAAUCCUUUUAGGGUCG